UUAGAAAAAUAUAAAAUAAAAAUGCAAAAAGUAUGGAUUUCAAAAUUUAUUUUACUUAAAAUCAUUUAAUUACCAUAAAUAAAGGUGUAUUGUUUAACUCUCCGUUACUUACGACAUUUCCACAGUGUAUUGCAUUUCUCGUUAUUGUAGUUUUUAAUGAUCUGUGAUGUAUCAUUUAUUGCUUUAGAUUAGACCUCUGUUCGUGCUCUUGUACACUGCCAUACAAUACGCUGGGCACCCCGCAAAACCUCGGCUGUCCCUCGGCUUAGGCCCUCUCAGCUAAAGGUCCUUCAACAAAGGUUUACCUCAGCUAAAGGUCCUACAACAAAGGUUUACCUCAGCUAAAGGUCCUUCAACAAAGGGUUACCUCAGCUAAAGGUCCUUCAACAAAGGUUUACCUCAGCUGAAGGUCCUUCAACAAAGGGUUACCUCGGCUAAAGGUCCUUCAACAAAGGGUUACUUCAGCUAAAGGUCCUUCAACAAAGGUUUACCUCAGCUAAAGGUCCUUCAACAAAGGUUUACCUCAGCUAAAGGUCCUUCAACAAAGGUUUACCUCAACUAAAGGUCCUUCAACAAAGGUUUACCUCAGCUAAAGGUCCUUCAACAAAGGUUUACCUCAGCUAAGGGCCCUUCAACAAAGGUUUACUUCGGCUAAAGGUCCUUCAACAAAGGUUUACCUCAGCUAAGGGUCCUUCAACAAAGGUUUACCUCAGCUAAAGGUCCUUCAACAAAGGUUUACCUCAGCUAAAGGUCCUUCAACAAAGGUUUACCUCAGCUAAGGGUCCUUCAACAAAGGGUUACCUCAGCUAAAGGUCCUUCAACAAAGGGUUACCUCGGCUAAAGGUCCUUCAACAAAGGUUUACCUCAGCUAAAGGUCCUUUAACAAAGGGUUACCUCAGCUAAAGGUCCUUCAACAAAGGGUUACCUCAGCUAAAGGCUUUUCUUUUUACCUUGGAAACGUUUUAAAGAAAUCCAUCCAACCUAUUAUAGACUGACACUCCUUGAUGUUGUGCACUUUCCUGUACUUUAGAACUUAGCGUUUAAAAAGUUUUACUUAAAAAAAUGAUAUGAUAAAAAAAUUCGAUAUUAUUUCUACAUAAGUAGAUUUAAUUUUAAUGAAAUAACAGAUUAAAUGUUGAUUUUAUACUUAACUUUUGGUAGUUGAUGUAUACAAUUAUUAAAAAAAAAACUUUUUCAUUUUGUAUACAUUUGAAUGAGCAUUUUGUAUUCUUAAAAUUUCCAUGUGUUUAUAAACAGUUAGAUUUUUUGUAGACAUAGCAUUAAUAAUGAAGUUUUUUGUAAAUUUGACAUUGUAAAGCGAUUUUUUGUUUGUGAUAUAUAUUUAAUUUCCAGUGAAAGCCUUCAAUAAAUAUAAGGAAUUGUUUCUUAGAAUUGAUAAAAGUACAAUAAAAUGAUUUGAUUCUUUUGUCGUAAUUUUUGGGAUCGUCGAAGCAAUAUGAUUAGACUGGAAUGUUUAAAAAAUUUAAAAUUAACGACCGUUUUUUUAUUAUUAAAUUUCUGUGACCAGGUAUACCUUUAAUAUUAAGGUAGAAAAAAUUAAAAAAAAAUCGUGGGACGGUUAUUUUUUGUAAUUGGUAUAAACUAGUCUGACAAUUUUUUCCCACUUUUAAAUAUGUAUUUUGUAUAUUGUCACCUGUAUUUAUGUUACAUAAUGUUUUUCUUUUUAAGUUUUGAUUGUAUUUUUAAAAGAGCGUUGACGAGUAUAUUAAUGUAAAGUAGGACAAGCAAAAUGUGUAAAUAAUUUAAAGUUUAUAUAAAUAAAGAGUGGCUGUUCUCAGAGGACCGCCGCAAAUUGAA